AACGCACCUUGCACCUUCUGGUAUUCCGGAAGGUACAUCUGUUUGAGUGUCAUUAAACUCUCAACUAAACAGCUUUUGUUAGCUCGUUUAGCUUGGAUGUGAGGGUUGCGGGCGACUUUUUACAGUUGUCGGCUCCCUUUAAAUGCAUUAGCUGGGGACUAGUAUGUUAUUCAAGUGCUUCAAUGCUUGAAGACCUCCGGUGUGAUAAUUAUCUACGCUGUUGGUUUAGUUGUUGCGCAUAUAUUGAACUACAGAGUGUUUCUGCUUCCAACUGUCUCGUAAGAGACUAGUCCGCUACAGGGCUACUUUUGACAAUUGUGACCUCAAAUCAGAUGGGAUUACCCGCUGAACUUAA
rnacentral:misc_RNA from 1 species